GACGAACGCUGGCGGCGUGCUUAACACAUGCAAGUCGAACGGUGACCCAGGGCUUGCCCUGGUGAUCAGUGGCGAACGGGUGAGUAACACGUGGGCAACCUGCCCCUGACUUCGGGAUAACUCCUCGAAAGAGGAGCUAAUACCGGAUACGACCACUUCGGACAUCCGAUGGUGGUGGAAAGUUUUUCGGUCAGGGAUGGGCCCGCGGCCUAUCAGCUAGUUGGUGGGGUAAUGGCCUACCAAGGCGACGACGGGUAGCCGGCCUGAGAGGGCGACCGGCCACACUGGGACUGAGACACGGCCCAGACUCCUACGGGAGGCAGCAGUGGGGAAUAUUGCGCAAUGGGCGAAAGCCUGACGCAGCGACGCCGCGUGAGGGAUGAAGGCCUUCGGUUGUAAACCUCUUUCAGCAGGACGAAGCGAAAGUGACGGUACCUGCAGAAGAAGCACCGGCUAACUACGUGCCAGCAGCCGCGGUAAU
rnacentral:rRNA from 1 species